CUUCGUGCGGACCCCACCGCGGGUCGCGGCAGGCAGAGGGGAAGUCGGUGCGCUGGUCGCCGCCCUGCAAACUCAGCCGAGUUUGGGAGCUCGCAGGAGGACUUGGGGAACGCUGGAGGGAACCUUAGUAUAGAGUUUGAGGAGCGGGCAAGGAAGGUCCCCAUGGACUCUGGGGUUGUCCCCAGAGCCUCUUCUUCCCUUCUGCAUCGCCGCCUAUUCAUUUAUUCUGCAGCAAAUAUUUAUUGAGCGCCUAUUUUAGGCGCUGAGGCUACUGUGAUGUUGGAUGACAAUAACCAUCUUAUUCAGUGUAUAAUGGACUCUCAGAAUAAAGGAAAGACCUCAGAGUGUUCUCAGGUCAUGAAUAAACCACAUCUGUUAGUAUGGUUUGGUCAGUGGUCCUCAGAAA
rnacentral:lncRNA from 10 species